AUACGGAAGGUCCGGGCGUUGUCCGGAUUUAUUGGGUUUAAAGGGAGCGUAGGCGGGAGCUUAAGUCAGCGGUUAAAUGGUGCGGCUCAACCGUGCCCUGCCGUUGAAACUGGGUUUCUUGAGAGUGCAAGAGGCGGAUGGAAUUCAUGGUGUAGCGGGGAAAUGCUUAGAUAUCACGAAGAACUCCGAUCGCGAAGGCAGCCUUCCGGCCCGUCAACGACGCUCAUGCUCGAAGGUGCGGGUAUCAAACAGGAUUAGAUACCCUGGUAGUCCGCACAGUAAACGAUGGACACCCGCGGUUUGGCCUGUAUGGCUGAGCCGCCAAGCGAAAGCGUUAAGUGUCCCACCUGGGGAGUACGCCGGCAACGGUGAAACUCAAAGGAAUGGGCGGAG
rnacentral:rRNA from 1 species